GUAAUAUGCAAAUAUUCAUACGUUUGGAUAACUUUAUGUCAGCACAUAUAAAUUCGACAUUGCUGCGACACGAGGAUUUGAGGUGUGGCUGAAGGAAAGUCGAACAGAGCAUAUCUUGUGAAAAUUAUAGCAUAAAGUUUAGUUGAGGUUAAACUAAGUUGCUUUAGUGAAGAAAAGAGUGCACAGAUUUUUUGUUACCAAUCCCAAACGAACAAAGACGACGGAGGCUUAAAUGGCUGAAAAUGCUGACGAAGGAUCAAGUAAACAUCGUCUUCGUAAAUAGAAUAAAAUAAAGAUCAACUUUGUGUGAGCCAUAAAAUAAGUUUAUAACGUAAACUCACGUUGUAACAAAAAAUGAUGUGGCGUGUAUUAAUAACAACGUUUUAUAACAACGAAA